rnacentral:tRNA from 1 species
GGUAGAGCUCUGGAUUGUGAUUCCAGUGGUCGAGGGUUCAAGCCCCUUCGCUCGCCCCA